CGUUAAACUCAAAUUUUGGUUUCCCCCUCCCUCUCUUUGUAUCUUUCUUCUUCUACAUCUCCGAUUAGUAUGUAGAAGGUGAACACAGUACACCAGAGAAGCUAUCGAAACAAGGGAAGCUUGCUCUUGCAUCAUAUUCCCUUACCGGCUUCCCCCUUAUGCUUCUCUCUUUCAGGGGUCUCUCUUCUCUUCUCUCUCUCACGGGUCUCUCUUUUCUUCUCUCUCUGGCCACUAGCUCUAUUCUCUUCUCUCUCUCUCUCUGUCUCUCUUCUCUGUCCGGCUCUUUCUUCUCUCUCGAUGUCUCUCUUCUCUUUAUCCUCUUUUUGUUUGUGAUUAGGAUUUGUUUUACAUACUAACCGUUCUUUUUGGCUUGCUUUGUAAGUGGAGUGUGUUGAUUCUCUGAAGCAGCUAAAGGAGAAUAAGAAUUUGAUUCGCAUCUUCAUUCUGCUUUUGCAGGAAUGAUAUUGAAGUAGAAGCACUAGUGAUGAAUUGAGAAGAAUACCAGCUAGCACUACCUUCCCUUCCCAAAUGGCCUGAAGGAUUGCUAAUAGCAUACAUGUGUAAGUGACACAAAUUGGGGGAGGAGCCCCUGCUGAAAUUUUACUCAGAACCAUUGAGUGUGUGACAUUUUAAUAUAUCAGUCCACACAGU